ensembl:lncRNA
CAGAGCUUCUUCCAGAUGAGCUGGAGACAACAAAGGAUUUUGGCCAGGCCUUCUUUAAGUUUCCUUGCUGAGCUUUCACUGUGAAGCCAAAUCUGCACUGUUUGGUGUCUGCAGCUUCGUUUCUGGGUCCAGGCAACGGGAUGGAGAAAGGAUGGGGGUGAUCCAACAGCCGGCAUGGAAGGCUUCUCCCAGCACACCUUAAUUUGAGAUCUCCUGCAUGCAGGAAGCAAUGGAGUUAAGUGACCUUGCUGAAUCCCGACUGCUGCAGCUGCAGGAGAACGGGGAAGGAAAAGAAGAGAGGGGAGGAGGAAGAGGCACUUUGCAGCCUCCCAUUAAAGCCCCAAGAGGCUGAAGAUGAGAGAGUGAAAGUUUCAAAUUGCCAGAAUGUAAUUCUGAAAGUCAUUUUCCAAGCGCAGAGCUCUCCGCAAUGUCACCUCUCAUCUUCCAAGGUGGGGAUAGAAGAAACAAAAAAACACAGAAUGUUCUGCAAAGACAGAGCUGCUAAUACAAAGACAGAAGAGGUGUCAGUCCCCAGACACGCUGUCUCGCACCGCCUUCUUCUGGGAGAUCUGUGCAGCUCGGGUGCACCUGUACCGGGGAACCAUUCCCAGCUCCUUUCCCAAGC